GUAAUGAGUAUUAUACUCUGUUAAUUUAUAGUGGCUGUCAUAUUUAUAUUUUCUAUUUACAUGAAAAUAAAAUCUUCGCAUACAUUCUAAAUAAACCUUAGAUUUAUGAAAGCUUUAAUUCUGUAACAGUUGUCUCUAUCCACGAUUGCUCCACCUGUAAAAUACAUUUUCUUAUUGUAUAGAAAAAUCAUAUGCUAGGAAAGGGGAAAACUUAAAAGCUCAUUU
rnacentral:sRNA from 1 species